rnacentral:rRNA from 1 species
GACGAACGCUGGCGGCGUGCUUAACACAUGCAAGUCGAACGGAAAGGCCCUGCUUUUGUGGGGUGCUCGAGUGGCGAACGGGUGAGUAACACGUGAGUAACCUGCCCUUGACUUUGGGAUAACUUCAGGAAACUGGGGCUAAUACCGGAUAGGAGCUCCUGCUGCAUGGGGGGGGUUGGAAAGUUUCGGCGGUUGGGGAUGGACUCGCGGCUUAUCAGCUUGUUGGGGGGGUAGUGGCUUACCAAGGCUUUGACGGGUAGCCGGCCUGAGAGGGUGACCGGCCACAUUGGGACUGAGAUACGGCCCAGACUCCUACGGGAGGCAGCAGUGGGGAAUAUUGCACAAUGGGCGGAAGCCUGAUGCAGCAACGCCGCGUGCGGGAUGCCGGCCUUCGGGUUGUAAACCGCUUUCGCCUGUGACGAAGCGUGAGUGACGGUAAUGGGUAAAGAAGCACCGGCUAACUACGUG